GAAAAGAGGAUCUACAGGAAAGAGUUGUGCAGAGAUGGGUACAAUCUUCGAGGGUAUUUGGAUACUGGGUGCUAAACUUUAGCAGUGUCAUAUCAAAUGUUCGGAUGCUAAUUAGGAGGACUAAACAUGAGCUAAUUAUAAAACUAAUUACACAUAUGGAGUCUAAUUCGCGUGACGAAUCUAUUAAGGCUAAUUAAUCCAUCAUUAGCAAAUGGUUACUGUAGCACCACA
rnacentral:lncRNA from 1 species